rnacentral:lncRNA from 1 species
GCAAAGAGGAAUCUACAAAGGUAUAAAUUUCUCAACUCACUUUGAUUUGAGUUGAGUCUUGGUUCACCAAUCUACUAGGCUUUGAAUUUCAUGGGUAAUGUUUUGUUUUUGAAUGCAUGCAAGCAUGAUUCCACCUUUUAAUUGUUAAAUGCAUGCUAUAGAUGUUAUUCAAAUGAACAUGUUUUCACAAAAUCAUCCUUCAAGUGGUAUCAGAGCCUAGGUCUAGUAGUUGGUGAAUCCUUUUGGGUUUUGUGGUUCAUAGUUUGUGAUUUAAAAGUUGUAAUAUGUUACAAGCUUUAUUCUUGUUUCUUUGAAUGUAAAUUUUGUUAGAAAAUUUGCCAUCUCAAAUGUUGUAGAUGUAGUUCUUAUGAGCAUGAAUAUUGGAGCUAAAAUUUGGUGCCAUGUUUUUGGGAAUUUUCGGCCAAAUCCAAAGGGUGGAUUUUUGGGUUCUUGUUUGACUUGUUAAAAGUGUUUCAAGUAACUUUUGGAACCCCUAUGUACCCUAGUUUGGUUAUAUGUUAUUUCCCUAAAGUUUGAAUGGUUUUGGGAUGUUUUUGGUGUAAAAAUGUUCAUGGAAAUUUUUUGGGUUUUUCAUGAACGUUCUUCAUUGUUCUUGACAUUUUUGCCAAGAACAAAAAGUUUUGUGUUUUGAUUCAAAGUUUUGAUUUAUUUCAUAAAGUUUAUGUUUUAUGUUUUUCAAAUGAUUUAAUGUGUUAGAUAUUUGUUUAAAUGGUGGUAAAAAUAUUGGUGGGUGUGUAAGGAUUAAUUUCCUUUCACACACACCACUUGCAUGACAUUUAUGUCAUGCAACACUUGCAUGCUUUAUGUCAAAACUCACAAAUCAACACACACAUCACUCUAAUCCUUCUCCAAAACCGGCCCUCCCUCAAGUGGGAGUACUUUUAGGGCUUUUAUGCAAUUACAUAAAGUUUUGAUACUUUUGUGUAUUUGCACUUUGGCCCAAAAGUUUACAUUUUUACGUUUAGGUCCAAAAACGCUAAAGGACAAAUUGUUUUGCUCCUUUAAUGAAGCUUUUGCAUUGUUUAAAUUUUAGGUUCUAGUUGUAAUUACAUGAAGUAGUGGACUUUUGUGUUUUUACAAAGUGACCCCUUUGCAAUAUAGCCCAAAGGUUGUGGUAAUUGCAUAUUGGCCCAAAUUAAGUAGAGAACAAAAUUGUUUUGUCUCUUUAAAUGAGAAUUGGAUUUUCAUUUCAUUUAGCUCCAUUUAAAUCAAUCUUAUGGAUACAAAAACCAAAUGAAAAUGUUGCAUUCAAUUUAAUUAGUUAAAGUGUUAAUUAAUUAAAGGGUGAUUAUGAACCUAAGCCUACGAUAAUUGAGCUAUGUGAAAGGCCGUUUCAAAUUUGUUUGAACCAUGGGAAUGUGUAGAUUAGAUUUUGGUUGUAAUUUGAUUUGAUCAAAUGUUGUAAAAGAGCAUAAGCUCUUCUUUACUUUAAAGUAAUUUGAUUUAUGCAAAUGUUGUAAUGAGCAUAAGCUCACUUUUACUUUGAAGUACUUCUUUCUUGCUUUAUUUGAUAUGCAUGAAAAUGAAGUAGUUGGGUCCAACGCCCCUAAGACAACACGCCUUAAUGUGAUUAAACGCGUAACUAAAAUCAAUCACCAUCCCUAGACUGAGAUUCAACACAAGGCUCGUGUUGGAUCUAAUUAAAAGGUUCAUAAUCAUCCUAAGGCCCUAAGGCAACUAUAUAGUCCAUCAAUGAAUGCAAACCUUAUGUUAGUAGUAUCAUAUACUCUUACUUUAAAAAACCGUUUUAUAAGCAUAGUGGGAGUAUUAUAUACAACUAAAACAAUCAAAUGGACCAAUAGUUGUAAUAGGACCAAAAUUGUUUUAAUAAGAUUAAAAUGUAUGUUUAUAUGUGAUGAGACCUAAAACCCUCAACCAAACCAUUAUUAAGUUGAUAAGCGUGAGAGUGCUUUGAACACUCUUUCGUGGCCUUCCACCAUGGUAGCUCCAAUCGUUUAUGACUUGUACACCACCUUCACCCUAUCAUGGGGGAGUGCAAAGUGCUUAUACUCAGGAGGAGUCUAUAUACAUACUUGAUGAGGUGAGUGUAGGCAACGAGGAUGGCCAACAUCAUAUCAUUGUGAGGCUAUUCUUGAACCCCUUCACAAACUAAGCAUGGUGGGAAUGACUUAACUAAGUGCAAUGGAGCCAACAUCAUAUCAUUGUGAGGUGACAUUCUCUAGAGGCCAAAUAAGAUGGGUACUUGCAAGUGAUGCAAAUGAGUAAGCGUACUCUCUCAUUAUUAUUAAUGCUAGCCAACAUCAUAUCAUUGUGAGGUGGGCUUGGUAGUAGUGAGUCUCCCAUACCCUACUAAGUGUUUCAUCCAAAACUCUCGAAUUCCAAUGAGGGAUAUGGAAUUUGCCAAAAAUAGUGGGUGGUGCUAUUUGAUUUAAAGACCUGAAUCAAAUGGCUUAAAAUCAAUCAAUUUAUAUUCGUUAUGUAUUUACUUACCAUUAUAUUUGCAAACACUAUCCCACACUUGACAAAUAAAAGCCGAAUGCUUUAGUUUCCGGACUUGGUACAACAAUCCCAAAGAUUGUCUUAAAUGGAUUGUAGAAGUACCUAAGUAGUCUCAUCCUCACAAUCUUCCUAUUGAUAAUGUAUCAUUGGAAGAACAUGUUAGAUAAAGUCUAUAAUAAAGAGGACAACACUUUUAAUGUCAUAAUUCUUCAAUUACAAUUUGUUGUAUGAAGAAAUAAGAGUUGCUUUGAACAACCCUUAAUCAAUGCAAACAUUAGUGCUUGUUUCUUUGUUACAUGAACAAGGAACUUUAGAAGAAAGCACAAAGGCAUGGACACUUAAUGUGCCAUGAUUCUUCACUUACAAAUUGUUGUAUGAAGAAAUGAGAGUUGCCUUGAACAACUCUUGAAAGUUUGUAAUUAUGUUUAGAACAUAAUGGUUGGUUGACAAAAAUAGUCCAUCAACAUGGACUUAUGAUGAUUUUGAAUCAUUGAGUGUUGAAGUGAUAAACCACUUAACGAGACGGAAACUAGGCAAGGAUUUCACCUUUAUGUCCCUAUCCUAAUGGUUCACUAAGUUUAUUGUAAACUGUAUGGUGAACAAUAAACACAUACUCCCCAAAAUGUUUGAUGUGUAUAACACAAUUGAAAUAAGUUUCAAGAGAGAUAGUGGGAGUUUAGGGACCAUGACUAAUGUAGUCAAAGGUGAAAGUCAAAUAAAGAAGAUAAAAAUAACUCCAAGGGAACAAACUUUCUUUAUGAAAGGAUGGACAUUGGAAGGGGUAUUUGCAAGAAAUGUCUUGCAAGUGUCAAGAACACACCUUUCGAAGGUGUUGUAAAUUGUUCUUGAAUAGUUCAAAACAGUUGGUUCUUCUACUUGAAUGCUUGAUUCCGUAUUAGUAACUAUGUUUUACAAUCGUUGUAAAAGUGUGACUAAUAAGAAGUAGAAGAUAUAUGAGAGAAGAAAAGGUACUUCACAUUCGGAACGUGAAUAAAAUAUAGAUCUCUGCGAAGGCAGAUAGUACUUACUUCCUCAUAUGAACUACCAAAGAAAUUGGAAAAACCAAAGAUUGUCUUUACAUUCCAAUUUUAAGGAAUUUAAUUCCGUCACUAUAGUAGAGAUGGAUGAAUGUUUUGUUUGACAAAACAUUGUUCUUUAUUAAUCAAUGAUUGGAUUAUAGUAAUCUAAUUGAUUGUCUCUAUAGUAGAGAUGAUAUGGUAGUGUUAACUGUUUAGAAUAUAAUGAUGCUUAAAACCCAAAAGGUUGCAAGGUAGUGACUAAUCCCAACUAAAGUUGUGAUACCUCUAAAACAUAAAUUACGAGUUGGUCAUAGAUGGAUGCUUUGGAUCGUUAGAUCCGGAUCCAAUACCUUCUUGUUAAAAAUUGUAUAGAGGCGCGAAAUGUUCGAAUCUUUAUUCUUUUGGAAAGAAGAAAGAAUCACAAAGUUGUUGAGGUUAAUUCACUUAGAUGUUAGUGGCACUUGUCCACAAACAUAAUACUACUCAUGUUGUAUAACAUUCACCGAAGAUCACUCUCGGUUGGACUAUAGUUUAUUUUGAAUAAACACAAGUCCGAAUACUUUGCAAAAGUUUUCAAAGAAUUCAAGAAAUGUAAGUUGAUGAGUAAGACAUCUAAAGUAUUUACCUCCUUAGAUUUGAUCCAAGGAAAAGAAACACUUUAGAUGAGUCUCCUUGAAAGAUAUCAAGGAAAGAAGCAUCAUAAGAUAAUAAAUUUCUCCAUUAAGGAGAAGAACGAACUCGAAUAAGAUUUAGUUCGUUAGAUGUUAUCUAUUACCCAUAUAUAGGAUAUAUACUUCUAAAACAAUAUGAUUGUCAAUUAGAAGAUCUUCCAAAUUUUACAUGACUCCAUAAGAUGUAGUUGGAAAGAAAGACAAAUCUCAAGCAUGUUAAGAUUUGGGGUUGUGAGCUAAUAAGCAAUAUUUGUUUGAUAACAAUCUUGUGGGAUAUCCUUAAAUUAACUUUUGGAUAUCGCUUCUAUAAACCAAUUAACAAAUGUUGUUUUGUUGGGUAGUUCAUUGUAAUCCUACAAUGUGAUUUGCCUAAAAGCAAAUGAACGAGAGAUAGAACUCAAAGAAUGGGUUCUUUGAGAGACAAGAAAGUAAUCAACAAAUAUAAACAACCUAGUUCCUAUACCAAAAGCUCCAAGGUAGUCGAGAAGGAUUUAUAAACCGUCAAAGUUGAAUGGUUUGAACUUUAUGACUAUGUCAUAGAGUUGCACCUUUUAAUUCGAAAGAAAUAAGAAUGAAAAUCCUUAUGACUACAUUGAGUGUAUAUAUGAUAUAUACUCAAGGAAAUGGUAAAGUACCAUUUGACCCGAAAUAAUGAAACCCCCAUAGCUAAUUGGUAGCUUAAGGUGACUGCAAUCAAAGAGAAUGGUUGACUUUGAAGAAACCAUCUUUGACGUAGUCUUGUUUUUCAAUUAAUUCGAAGAUAGCUAGCUACAACUAAAUGGUGAUUCAAUGUUUGGACAUUAUAUGGGUUUCCGAAACCAUUAUUAAGAUAGUCUUGAUAAUAUAUAUGUCUAAAACUAUGAAUCACAAGACAUAUAAGUUGUAGAGAUCCAACCAUCAUGAAUCUUAGCAAGCUAGUGGGAGCUAUAAGCAUCUUAUGAGAAAAGGAUCAAAUCGUUUGAUUUCUCAUAAAGAUGUAAAUGAAUCUUUUGUUUACUAGGUUUACAAAAGGUUAGUGGGAGUUAAUCAUGUUCCUAAAAUUUAAAUAUAUAUGAUAUAUUAAUUUUGGAAAUGAAAAGAAUACUUCUUCAUUAAGUUAUAACUUUAAAACAUUAUAUGAAGAUAGAAUGUAUAUGGGAGUUAAUCAUGUUCCUAAAAUUUAAAUAUAUAUGAUAUAUUAAUUUUGGAAAUGAAAAAAAAUACUUCUUCUUUAAAGUUAUAACUUCGAAACAUUAUAUGAAGAUAGAAUGUAUAUGGGAGAUAUAGUCUAUAUACAUGGGAUGGAAAUCUAUAAUGAUAUAUUUCAUGAUAUAAUUGGAUUAUAUCAAUCUCUAAUAAUAGACAAUAGAUGCUAGGAAGUUUCUCAUAUGAUGAUAAACUUCAAUUAGAAGGACACCUCUAGUGAGACUAAGAAGUUGCUCUUCUCAAAGAGAACGUACUCUUUGACUCCCAAAGAAAUAAUGCGUAAAUAGAAUCCUUUAUGCAUACGCAUAAAGGUGAUUUAUGUAUUUCAUAUUGUAUGAAAAACAUUGACAUGAGUUGUACCUAGAACGGUACAAGACGAUAUCAGUGCAAGCCCAGGAUCAGAACCAUGGCAACUGUCAAGUGAGUCCUUAAGUAUUUAAGAAAUACUAAAGGAUAGAUUCCUUAAAGAAUGAGGAAGAAUUAGAGUAACGUAAAGGAAGCGUAAAUGUAUUAGAUUAUAAAUCUAAUCGAUCAUUGGAUGUUUCUUCAUUAUGAAUGAAGAGAUAAUCAGAUAUCUCUUUAUUAUGACUAAAGAGAUAUUUGGAUGGAAACAUUAAAGUAAUGACUUUAGUGUGUUCCAUUAUGAAUGCAAAAUAUAUUGCCAUAUAUAAGCUUACAACAAUGUUGUUUGGAUGGCAAAGUUCAUUUAUGAACUCUCUAUUCGGUUCCAACCAGAAAGUGUAUCUAGUGUACUGACACUAUGACACUAAUGGGGCGAUAGCUCAAGCCAAGGAAUCAAGGUCUCAUCAAGGUCCGAACUCAAAUGAGAGACUGAACCACAUGAUUGAGAAUCAUGUAUAAUGGUGACGUCAUUAUUCUCAAGGUUGCUUCUAUGGAUAACAUAUAGAUAUUCAUUGUCUAGGCCUACUAUUCAGCCAUUUAUGAAAUGACUACGGAAGAGGUAUCAUCACUGAUGACCAAGCUGAUUGGCUCUAGUGCAAGUGGGAGAUUGUUGGAAAUGUGCCCUAAAACCAAUCAUAUGAUGAUACUUUACGGACAUUUCACAUGUUAAACUAAUCUAGUUUAAUAUCAAGGGCAAACAUUAUUGUUUGAGCCGUCUCAUAUAAAUGUUAUAUGCUUAAACGAUAAGUCCAAGGAAUAUGUGAUUGGGAGAAUGCAAUCUAAAGAAGUUAGAUUCAUGAGACCAUUCUUUCGUAGACACAUCCUAAACGUUCCUGAUCAUAGGAUUGCCAAUUGGGCAUUGACAGUCCGUUAAGAUCAGUACGUGCUAUGUCUUCUCUCAGGGAGAGUGACUAGUCUCGAGUCAUUGGUGUGUGUGACAUCAAGACAAGUACGUAGGUGCUCAAUAGAGAAUGAGUUCACUGAACACGAUCAACGAAGAGUUCUCAUAUUCAUGUCACAUGAGAACUCAUGGUUGGGAUAAUGCAAAGUAGUCCUUUGACCUGAGGCAUCAUAGUUGUCUUGUGGUUAAGUCCUUGAUCUUUGAUUAUGUCAAAGUCACUCCAUCAGAAGAGUGUCCACGGCAUAGUUGGGGUUAAGCCACUUAGCUAUGGAGGCAAGUGAAUGCGCAACAAGGGAUCUCUAACCUUCAAACCGUUUUUGGGAGAAUACUCUAUGAUAUGAUUUAGAAUCUCUGGCCAGAGUAUGAAUGAGAUUUAGGAAAGUCGUUCCAAAUCACAUUCAAGGUAAUCAUAUAAGCACACGAAUCACAUUGGAUAGUAGACAUGAAUAAACUAUCAAUCCAAACAAUGUGGUCAAGAGUAUUGUAUUAGAGAAAGACCGUAUUGCAUUUGUAAUCCUAAACUGAAUAGGUUCUCUACCUCUUCUGAUUAGCUUGGGUAACCAUGAUAUGCUGCUAGGUGUCACUCUUGGUUUAUGGAAGCCCUAAACGUGUAUAAACACUAAAGGGAGAAUUGAAAGUAAGUUUCAAUUCACAAUCGAUUUGAAAGAGUUUUAAUCGUCCACUGCCUCGCUAAAAGGAACCUAAUGGAUCGUACACCGUGUAAGGUGGAGAUUGAAGAAACAAUGGAGAUGAGUAAGAAUAAUUAAAUGGUUUAAUUAUUUAUGGCAAGGAUUAAUUAAUAUGUUAAUUAAUCAAACGAAUAAGUUCGUUAAAGACCUCGGGAUAGUUUUGGACCUUAAGGCCCAAUGGGCUUCGAACGUCAAGCCCAUUGACUUAAGUUGUAUGACAAUUUAAUGAAUAAAGAUUCACAAAGGCCCAAAAGCCCAAAUCCCUUAUGUGGCCGGCCAUGUGUGUUGAAUUAGGGUUUUUGGUUCUUUAGGUCAUUUAAAGAAGUGACUAUAUAAAGAACUUUAUAGCCUAAAAUUCAUUAAGGGUUUCUUUUAGGAAAUUGGAGAGAACACAAAGCUCUCAUUUCUCUCUAAAGAGGCCGGCCCCCACUUGGAGGGAUUAGCUAGCAAUCCCACUCCUCCAAGGUCGCUCAUUUCUUCUCCAAUCUAACCUUGGUGUAGACACUUAGAGGUUCUCAAUUUUGGGAACUUGGGGAACCAUAUUCUUCCAUCCAAAUCCAUGGAUCUAAGAAGCAAGGAAUGAAGGCCCUCUCUUUGGGUGAUUAGCCUUUGCUUAUGCAAAGAGGAAUCUACAAAGGUAUAAAUUUCUCAACUCACUUUGAUUUGAGUUGAGUCUUGGUUCAUCAAUCUACUAGGCUUUGAAUUUCAUGGGUAAUGUUUUGUUUUUGAAUGCAUGCAAGCAUGAUUCUGCCUUUUAAUUGUUAAAUGCAUGCUAUAGAUGUUAUUCAAAUGAACAUGUUUUCACAAAAUCAUCCUUCAAGUUUAACCCAUCACCCAUCAAUUCACCUAAAUUUUUCUAAGAAUCUGUUUAAAUUGUUCUUUCUUUGUUUUCCUUAUUUUCGUCCAAAACCAAAAUCCCCUUUAUUUUAUUAAGUCAUAUUAGUUAG